rnacentral:rRNA from 1 species
AGCAGCCGCGGUAAUUCCAGCUCCAAUAGCGUAUAUUAAAGUUGUUGCAGUUAAAAAGCUCGUAGUUGAAUUUCGGGAUCAGUACGCUGGUCGUGCCUCCGGUAUGCACUGGUGUCACUGGUUCCUCCCUUCUGAAGAACCAUCAUGCUAUUAAUUUAGUGUGGUGGGAAAUCAGGACUGUUACUUUGAAAAAUUAGAGUGUUCAAAGCAGGCUCACGCUUGAAUACAUUAGCAUGGAAUAAUGAAAUAGGACGUUGAUCCUAUUUUGUUGGUUUCUAGGAUUGACGUAAUGAUUAAUAGGGAUAGUUGGGGGCAUUAGUAUUCAAUUGUCAGAGGUGAAAUUCUUGGAUUUAUUGAAGACUAACUACUGCGAAAGCAUUUGCCAAGGAUGUUUUCAUUAAUCAAGAACGAAAGUUAGGGGAUCGAAGACGAUCAGAUACCGUCGUAGUC